UACGGAGGGUGCAAGCGUUGUCCGGAUUCAUUGGGCGUAAAGAGCUCGUAGGCGGUUCAGUCAGUCGGGUGUGAAAUCUCCGGGCUCAACUCGGAGGGGCCACCCGAUACUGCUGUGACUCGAGUCCGGUAGGGGAGUGGGGAAUUCCUGGUGUAGCGGUGAAAUGCGCAGAUAUCAGGAGGAACACCGGUGGCGAAGGCGCCACUCUGGGCCGGUACUGACGCUGAGGAGCGAAAGCGUGGGGAGCAAACAGG
rnacentral:rRNA from 1 species